GUCCAGACUCCUACGGGAGGCAGCAGUGGGGAAUAUUGCACAAUGGGGGAAACCCUGAUGCAGCGACGCCGCGUGAGUGAAGAAGUAUUUCGGUAUGUAAAGCUCUAUCAGCAGGGAAGAAAUAGCGACCUUUGGGUCGCCAGACGGUACCUGACUAAGAAGCCCCGGCUAACUACGUGCCAGCAGCCGCGGUAAUACGUAGGGGGCAAGCGUUAUCCGGAUUUACUGGGUGUAAAGGGAGCGUAGACGGCAGCACAAGUCUGAAGUGAAAUGCCGGGGCUUAACCCCGGAACUGCUUUGGAAACUGAGUAACUGGAGUGCUGGAGGGGCAGGCGGAAUUCCUGGUGUAGCGGUGAAAUGCGUAGAUAUCAGGAGGAACACCGGUGGCGAAGGCGGCCUGCUGGACAGUAACUGACGUUGAGGCUCGAAAGCGUGGGGAGCAAACAGGAUUAGAUACCCCCGUAAUG
rnacentral:rRNA from 1 species